UUUUUUACCUCAGGCUGAAAAUAGCCGUUGCUCUGAUGUCACGUGACAGCCUUGUCAUGUGAUCCCAGAUGAAUCUGAUCCUUACGUCCUUCGUCUAGUCGCUCCUGACCACAACAAGUCAACCCUUGAGGACAAUGAGGACCGUGUUGACCCUCGUCGUGGUGCUGGUCUGCAGCUCACCCGUACGCCCUGGGUUCCUUGAGGAGGAUCAAGAUGUCCUCAUUCCAGAUGACUGGUCCCGUGUGGGGCCGGUGGGACCCUCUGAGCAGCUGGAGCUGACCUUCGCCCUGAGGCAGCAGGGGGUGGACCUGCUGGGGGAGACGCUCCGCAGGGUUUCUGACCCGGACUCCCCACAAUACGCCAAGUACCUGAGGCUGGAGGAGGUCUCCUCUCUGGUGCGGCCCUCUGACCUCACCCAGAAGGUGGUCCGCCGCUGGCUGCAGAGCCACGGGGUCUCCGGGUGUCUGUCUGUCCUCACACGCGACUUCCUGCAGUGCACCAUGCCGGCCCAAGUGGCAGAGGCUCUUCUUCCAGGCGCUAGGUUCCACCGCUACGUCAGAGACGGGCGUUCCCAGGUCCGGUCCUCAGCUCCGUACUCGGUCCACGACGAGGUUCACCAGCACCUGGACUUUGUGGGGGGUCUUCACCGCUUGCCCCCCCGGGGUCAGGAUGUAGUGUCUCAUGGGAGGAACAGACACCCGAAGGCUGGUCUCCACCUCGGAGUGACCCCCGCCAUCCUGAGGGCGCGCUACAACCUCACCGCCUCCGACGUUGGCUCCUCCCAGAACAACAGCCAGGCCGUGGCCCAGUUCCUGGAGCAGUACUACCACCCGGCAGACCUGGCUGAGUUCAUGAGCAUGUUCGGAGGGAGCUUCCCGCACCUGUCCCUGGUGGACCGGGUGGUGGGCACCCAGGGGGCGGGCCGGGCGGGCCUGGAGGCCAGCCUCGACGUGGAGUACAUCAUGAGCACUGGGGCCAACAUACCCACCUGGGUCUUCACCAACCCGGGUCGUCACGAGAGCCAGGAGCCCUUCCUCCAGUGGAUGGUGCUGAUCAGUAACACGUCGGCCCUGCCCUGGGUGCACACGGUCAGCUACGGAGACGACGAGGACAGCCUGUCCAACGCCUACAUGACGCGCAUCAACACCGAAUUCAUGAAGGCGGGCGUCCGCGGCAUCUCCCUGCUCUUCGCUUCUGGGGACAGCGGGGCGGGCUGCAGACAUCUGACUAAAGAGGAGAACUGCUUCCGGCCGAGUUUCCCUGCAUCCAGCCCCUACGUCACCACAGUGGGCGGGACGUCCUUUAAGAACCCCUUCAAGAUGACUUAUGAAGUCACAGAUUACAUCAGCGGCGGAGGCUUCAGCAACGUGUUCAAGACGCCCGACUACCAGGCCAGUGCGGUGAAGGCCUACAUGCAGACAGUGGGAGGAGGGCUCCCCCCGCUGACCUACUUCAACACCAGUGGCAGAGCCUACCCGGACCUCGCUGCCCUGUCUGAUAACUACUGGGUGGUCAGCAACAGGAUGCCCGUCCCCUGGGUCUCUGGCACCUCGGCGUCCACCCCUGUGGUCGGCGGCAUGCUGGCUCUGAUCAACGACCGGCGGCUUCUCAAAGGCCUUCCCCCCCUAGGCUUCCUCAACCCCCGCCUCUACAAGCUCCAGGGAGAGGCCAUGUUCGACGUGACGGAGGGCUGCCACCUGAGCUGUCUGGACGAGACGGUCCAGGGGCGGGGCUUCUGCGCGGCCCCCUCGUGGGACCCUGUGACGGGUUGGGGGACGCCGAACUACCCCGCGCUGCUCGCCGCCCUGCUGGACCAGUGAGGCACUGGAGGGCUCCUCCUACAUCCAGAAUCAUGCCAACAGGGUAGUCGACGUAGUAUAUUGCUAGUUCUGCUGUAGGCCCGUUCAGGGCCAGCCAGGGAUCAUCUAACUCAGUCAAAAAGUAAGUCUGGGUCCAUCUCAUCAUAGCGUCAAACACUGCCUCCCAGAUGCCUAUGGAACAAUGCAGGGUACGGAUUGGGAUGGAGAAGAAUACCAUGAAUUGCUGAUUCUGUUAUUCUUUGCAUUUCAGAGAAUCUGAAAGAUUGUUUUAAAUGUCAAUCUUAUGAAGGGGAAAGGUGGAUAUCGAAGAUGCAAUUAAUUAAACAUUUUAUGAAUUACAUAAAAUGGGUUUGCUAUUUUACGUACAUAAAGACGCAUCAUAUUUAUGGAGCACAUUAAUUGACUUUUCAGACUUACGCUGGCGACACAAAUCACUUUAUUUUUAACUGUAGUAUGAUACUAUACUACUCUAUACUUCGCUAUGAUCAAAAUUGUUGCAAAUAAUGAUUUGUUAAUAUUUUUUAUUAUGCAUAAAAUUGCGCAUGGUUAUUCUCAGGUAGUUUGUAAGUAAAUGUUUAGGGUGCCACUAUCGGAAGUAAUAACUAAUUUUUAAACCAUUUUGACAAAGGUUUUAUGUAUUGUAGAUUUGGUUCGUUGGUCACGUAUUUUCUGUUUUUUUGUUUUUGUUUGUGUGCGUUGGUGUGUAGAGAGACUGAUGGACUGUAUAUUGAAAUUGUUUUGCAUGGACAGCCAAAAGGCUGCAUAUCGGUCAUACCCUGGUAGCUGACCAGUAGCCUGAACGGAUCCCUAAGCUUUAUGCAAACGUUGCUCGACAGUAUUCUACACCAGCAGUGCUGCAUGUUAAUGUUUUAUAAUUGACCCCAACCCAGCAAACAUGAAUAAAAGGAUAUCAGCA